GAGGAGAGUGGAUGAUGCUCCAGGCUGGCUGCUGGGAUGCCACAAGGGCAAGGCCCUGAGCCUGUGUAUGACCUGGCUGGAGGGCUGAGUCACCACAAACAGAGAGAGAGAGAGUGCAGGCACACGCACUUGGCCAGGGGGCAGUCGUGAGAGGCCCAUCAUAAUAACCCGAAAGCUGAACACUUAUCCACCUUAGCCCAGCCCUCCCCAAGUGCCUGACCACAAAUGAUUUGCAGCAUGUCUAGCUCCGGCAGACCAAGGGCAGGAAGUGAAUUCCAAAGUACCCAAUGGAAACUGACUGAAAAGCCAUCAGACUUUUAAACCAGGGAGCUGCUAGAUAAAGUAUCUCUGGUGCUGUUGCCUGAAGGACAGAAGAAGCCUCUUGGGUAACCUGGUCCUACACAUUUUACAUCUUAAAUUCCCCUUGGCAGAUUAUAGUCAGCACCACCAUACAGUGCCCUUUGCAAUGUCACUUGAUAAGUGGGGGUGCUGCACUCAGCUGCACAAUUUCAAGGUGUCGCUCCAUAUAGACUGAGUUACGGCAAUCUAGUCAUGGCUAGCUGCAGUAGUGUCCCUGAACGCUAGGGGAGCACACAGGGAAGUACUCCUUGCUUACAUCUGUGUAGCAGGCGUAAGCAGCACUUCUCCAAGUGUAGCCCUGGGGCUACUCGGGCAUUCCCCUCUGAAGAGUUACUUCUGGUGGAAGCAGUAGCAGACUGUUCCCUCUCCAGCACUGGGUGGCAGAUUCUCUCUCCAAGUGGGUGUGCUGUGGGUGUGCGCCUCUCCUUUUUAUGCCCCACUUUGUUUGCUCUGUGUUGGAGCAGGCAUAAUUUGGUUCAAUAUGGGGAACCAGUUGUAUAAGUUUAGGAAUAGAAAUACCAGCCUCUGCGAGCAUAUAUGCUGAUAUGUUUAAUGCUGUAUUGAUGGUCUCUGUUGGUUUUAAAUCCAUGCUGAGCAGAUGCGAUUAGUUUUCUCCAGAGUUUGUAGAUGUUUUCCCGAUGAAAUUCAGAAAAGGUCCAUAUUGCAUUAAAGUCAUUCUAAGUUAUCUUUGAUCACAAAUGUAACCUUUUAGUAUGAGGCUGCUGUUGCAAGAUCUGUUAAAAAUACACUUUUAUAGAUGAAUCUCCUUCUGGUUCUACGGACUAAUCCUUUUAGCAAUUACUAGGC